rnacentral:lncRNA from 1 species
UGUAAAACUUCCUAGAAGGUUCACCUCUUGAAAUCAUAUAGAAGAUGACUCAAGUGUGUCCUUUGGAAUAGGCAAUGAGCAAUAACAAACAAGCAAAGCAAAAGAAGAAAGUCAACAAAGGCGGAUACCGGAUGCCAAUCACUGGACUUAUACCAAUCUCCUAAAACAAAACUGGAUAUCAGAGGCCACUCUUUGGACUUAUACCAAUCUCCUCAACAA